rnacentral:rRNA from 1 species
CCUACGGGAGGCAGCAGUGGGGAAUUUUGGACAAUGGGCGAAAGCCUGAUCCAGCAAUGCCGCGUGAGUGAAGAAGGCCUUCGGGUUGUAAAGCUCUUUUGUCAGGGAAGAAACGGUGAGGGCUAAUAUCCCUUGCUAAUGACGGUACCUGAAGAAUAAGCACCGGCUAACUACGUGCCAGCAGCCGCGGUAAUACGUAGGGUGCAAGCGUUAAUCGGAAUUACUGGGCGUAAAGCGUGCGCAGGCGGUUUUGUAAGUCUGUCGUGAAAUCCCCGGGCUCAACCUGGGAAUUGCGAUGGAGACUGCAAGGCUAGAAUCUGGCAGAGGGGGGUAGAAUUCCACGUGUAGCAGUGAAAUGCGUAGAGAUGUGGAGGAACACCGAUGGCGAAGGCAGCCCCCUGGGUCAAGAUUGACGCUCAUGCACGAAAGCGUGGGGAGCAAACAGGAUUAGAUACCCUGGUAGUCCACGCCCUAAACGAUGUCUACUAGUUNUCGGGUUUUAAUUAACUUGGUAACGCAGCUAACGCGUGAAGUAGACCGCCUGGGGAAGUACGGUCGCAAGAUUAAAACCUCAAAUAGAAGUUAGACGGACGUGAGACGUAGACCGAACGGACGACGACGAGGGAGGUUAGG